CAGUAGCCACGGUAAUACGUAGGUGGCAAGCGUUGUCCGAAAUUAUUGGGCGUAAAGGGCUCGCAGGCGGUUUCUUAAGUCUGAUGUGAAAGCCCCCGGCUCAACCGGGGAGGGUCAUUGGAAACUGGGAAACUUGAGUGCAGAAGAGGAGAGUGGAAUUCCACGUGUAGCGGUGAAAUGCGUAGAGAUGUGGAGGAACACCAGUGGCGAAGGCGACUCUCUGGUCUGUAACUGACGCUGAGGAGCGAAAGCGUGGGGAGCGAACAGGAUUAGAUACCCGGGUAGUCCCUGUCUCUUAUAC
rnacentral:rRNA from 1 species